UGGAGUGUUUUUCUAUCUCCCUCCUCCCAUGCGGGUGCGUUGAGGUCUCCAUCCCAUAUCACUGGAUUGUCAGUCUUUUCUGUGCAGGGCUGCGGCCCUGUCACUCAUCUUCAGGUGUGGCCGCAGAGUCAAGUGUUUGAGGCUCCUCCUCAUUUGGCCCCAGCCUAGCUUUCCAGCCUCAUCAGCCACCUCUGCCUGACCUACUGUUCCCCACUGUCCUUCCCUCCCGUGGCUCCUCAGACUGUUGGUGCCAGCAGACGGGAGCCCUCCUCCCCUGCUUCCCGCCUCUCCCUACCCUACACUGUGGUUCACAGCUCAGCUCGGAUGCAGCCUUCGUGAAGACACCCUCGGUCCCUCCCUUCCCCUCCCCAGUAAGUAAGCAAGCAGCCGGACAAGUGAAACGCAGACAGCCAACACCGAAGGCUCCUUCUAGGGGGGUGUAAAAUGGUGUAGGUCGGCUGAAGCCUAGGAUGCAGGUCAGGUAGUGGCUAGAGGUAAGGCCCGAAAAGGUGGCCCGGGUCUGGCUUCGGAGAGCCUUGACUGCUCCACUCUGGAGAUCCGCCCACACCAAGGAUUCAGUUUAAGAGGAGGGUGGCAUCCUCAACUCUGGGCCUCAGAAAGCAAACCAGAGUGGAGCUUUGCUCCUGAACCCACUUGCAGAGUUUCUUGGCAUUCUGCUUUGGGUUGCAGUGGAAUCUGGGUACUGUGAAUGCAGAACCACGUAACAUCUGACUGCCUAAGAAAUUAGGUCCGUAUUUCUCAUCAUUUGCUCUCCAGUCUUCGUUAGAAUCGCUUGGGGAAGCUGUCAAACUUGAAGUUUCUCCAGUCCCAAUGCAGAUCUUAUGAAUGAGACCGGAGGGAGGAGCAGACAUUUCAGGGACUGAGAUGGCAUUGCAGGGAGGAGUAGGCAUUUCAAAGGAUCUCAGGGUUAUUAUGAAACAGGCUGAACCUGGAGAGUCUGCUUCAGUCUGUCACAUAGUACACCUCAACACGUAGCCAUCCAAUCAGUCCCGUCCAUCUGCCUCGUGUGGGAGCUGGUUAGAAAGGCAAAGUCAUGGGCUCCAUGCCAGAACCAGUGAAUCAGAAUCUGUGGUGGGGCCCAGGAAUUAGAUCUCACAAGCUCUCCGGGUGACUUUUAUGCACACGAGUCAGAGAACCCCUGCUUUAAUGAAUGGUUGUCUCUGAAGAAACAGACUCACGAUUUCAAACACCCAGGGCAGGUGUCUGUGUUAGCCUUGUGUAUCUAGGAGAUGCUCCUGAAAGUUUAUGUUUAAAUGAGAACCAGGGGUUCCAGAAGAGAAGGAGGGCAAGAUUCAGGCAACUUUGACUUCUUGAGAGUCAGAAUUUCUGAACCAUGAAAUGACUCAAAUGGAGCGUAGUUAUUUUUCCUGCAGACUUUCCCUAGCAGAGACCUGUUGGUAGAGUUUCCAUCAAAAAUGUUAAUGUUUGCACUUUCACACUUUCCAUGGGGAUGAAAACUGUGAAGAGAGUACACGUGUAGCUGGAGAUGAGCCGCCAGCAGAGGGACCGACUGCUUACGUUAUCGCAAUUUACAACGCGUAAUGUGUCUGUUUACGUUGAAACGUCUCAAAGACUAGCAGCUGCCGCCACCGCCACCAUUGUCAAACCACACAGCGCCCACUGUCUUGAAAUGGGUCCAGGGAGCUGAAUGGCUUUGCCAACAAUUUUGACAAGUCAUGGGAGGAAGAUGGGCCUGGAAUCUACCUCUCCUGUUCCCCAGGCCCUUGUGGAUUGUGGGGUGGGAUCUUCCUACUUCGAGUUGAUUCCCUUUGACAUUUGAAAUCCAAGGCUGUGAAAAGGAACAGCUCUUCUUUAAUGGCCACCUCUGUCAAGUUGGCCUUCAUCCAGAUCUGGACAGGUUAAUUGUUGUGUGUGUGAGAUGCUUGACCUCAAGAUUAUCAUCGCCCUUGGUGGCGGCUUACUGAUUGUCACAUUUGUGCUGAUGGCUGUUGUCAUCUGUCUUUACUACAAAGUAGCCAACGCACUGAAAUGUUCAAAGGCAUAUUUGGCUCUGACCAUCGAUAAUAAUGAGGCCACAGUCACGAUGACCACAGACUCCACCAAUGGGUCCUAUCCCAGCAUCCGGUGUUGUGAAGAAUGUAACUUGAAUGCCAACUCGAACCCCCUGCCACCGUGAUUCUGUGACGUAACCAAAAGACCUUGACUUGGCACAAAAAUCUUCACUCACAGUAUUUCUUUCUUGGUAGAAUUCAUUAUUCAAGUCAGGUUCAAAUCAUGUUUACAUCAUGUUAGGUACCACAUAUUUAUGUACUUUUGAAUAAAUAUGCAAGAGAAAAAUAA